rnacentral:rRNA from 1 species
CUGUUGUGCUGGCCCUUUGAGGCAAUGUGCACACCUCUGGUCAUUUGUUUGUUCUGUUCCACCUGUGCACUGCCUGUAGACACUCUGUGUCUAUGAUAUGUUACACACACACAAUGUAUGCAUAUUGGUUGGCAUAUUACAUGCAAUAAAUUAUAAUACAACUUUCAACAAUGGAUCUCUUGGCUCUCGCAUCGAUGAAGAACACAGCGAAAUGUGAUAAGUAAUGUGAAUUGCAGAAUCCAGUGAAUCAUCGAAUCUUUGAACGCAUCUUGCGCUCCUUGGCAUUCCGAGGAGCAUGCCUGUUUGAGUGUCAUUAAACUAUCAAAACACCUUUUUUCUUGGGUGUUUUGGACUUUGGGAGUAUUUUUUUGCUGGUCUGUUUGAGCCAGCUCUCCUCAAAAGCAUUAGCCUCGGAGACCAUCAGCGUGAUAAUUUGUUUACGCUGACUUGAGUGUCUCUGGUUUUCCUUUCAAUGCCCCUUUGACCUCAAAUCAGGUAGGACUACCCGCUGAACUUAAGCAUAUCAAUAAGCGGAGGAAAAGAAACUAACAAGGAUUCCCCUAGUAACUGCGAGUGAAGCGGGAAAAGCUCAAAUUUGAAAUCUGGCAGUCUCUUUUUUCUUCUUUGGCUGUCC